GCGAGUGUAGUUUAGUGGCAAAACUUCAGCUACGAGCGAUGCGUCAUUGAAUAUGUGACGAGUUGCUGAUGUCGUGGGUUCGAGUCCCGUCACCCGCU
rfam:Anoxybacillus sp. B7M1, complete genome.